GUCCACGCCGUAAACGAUGAUAACUGGAUGUUAGCGAUAAACAGUUAGCGUCUGAGGGAAACCAUUAAGUUAUCCACCUGGGGAGUACGACCGCAAGGUUGAAACUCAAAGGAAUUGACGGGGGCCCGCACAAGCGGAGGAACAUGUGGUUUAAUUCGAUGAUACGCGAGGAACCUUACCUGGACUUGAACGCAUUAGGAAGUGCGUAGAAAUAUGUAUGUCAGCAAUGACCUUUUGCGAGGUGCUGCAUGGCUGUCGU
rnacentral:rRNA from 1 species